rnacentral:piRNA from 1 species
UAACAGCGCAGGAAGAGGUGACUGGCUGGU